AGAGUUUGAUCCUGGCUCAGGACGAACGCUGGCGGCGUGCUUAACACAUGCAAGUCGAACGGUGAAGCGCUUGCCUUUUUGGUGGGUGUGGAUGAGUGGCGAACGGGUGAGUAACACGUGAGUAACCUGCCCCCUUCUUCUGGAUAACCGCAUGAAAGUGUGGCUAAUACGGGAUAUUCUGUGCCUGCUGCAUGGUGGGUGUGGGAAAGAUUGUGCCUUUGGGUGUUUUCGGUGGGGGAUGGGCUCGCGGCCUAUCAGCUUGUUGGUGGGGUGAUGGCCUACCAAGGCGGUGACGGGUAGCCGGCCUGAGAGGGUGGACGGUCACACUGGGACUGAGACACGGCCCAGACUCCUACGGGAGGCAGCAGUGGGGAAUAUUGCACAAUGGGCGCAAGCCUGAUGCAGCGACGCCGCGUGAGGGAUGGAGGCCUUCGGGUUGUGAACCUCUUUCGCCAGUGAAGCAGGCCUGCUCCUUGUGGGUGGGUUGACGGUAGCUGGAUAAGAAGCGCCGGCUAACUACGUGCCAGCAGCCGCGGUAAUACGUAGGGCGCGAGCGUUGUCCGGAAUUAUUGGGCGUAAAGAGCUUGUAGGCGGUUGGUCGCGUCUGCUGUGAAAGGCUGGGGCUUAACCCUGGUUUUGCAGUGGGUACGGGCUAACUAGAGUGCAGUAGGGGAGACUGGAAUUCCUGGUGUAGCGGUGGAAUGCGCAGAUAUCAGGAGGAACACCGAUGGCGAAGGCAGGUCUCUGGGCAGUAACUGACGCUGAGGAGCGAAAGCAUGGGGAGCGAACAGGAUUAGAUACCCUGGUAGUCCAUGCCGUAAACGUUGGGCACUAGGUGUGGGGGACAUUCCACGUUUUCCGCGCCGUAGCUAACGCAUUAAGUGCCCCGCCUGGGGAGUACGGCCGCA
rnacentral:rRNA from 1 species